AGCGAACGCUGGCGGCAGGCCUAACACAUGCAAGUCGAACGGACCCUUCGGGGUUAGUGGCGGACGGGUGAGUAACACGUGGGAACGUGCCUUUAGGUUCGGAAUAGCUCCUGGAAACGGGUGGUAAUGCCGAAUGUGCCCUUCGGGGGAAAGAUUUAUCGCCUUUAGAGCGGCCCGCGUCUGAUUAGCUAGUUGGUGAGGUAAUGGCUCACCAAGGCGACGAUCAGUAGCUGGUCUGAGAGGAUGACCAGCCACAAUGGGACUGAGACACGGCCCAGACGCCUACGGGAGGCAGCAGUGAGGAAUCUUGCGCAAUGGGCGAAAGCCUGACGCAGCCAUGCCGCGUGAAUGAUGAAGAUCUUAGGAUUGUAAAAUUCUUUCACCGGGGACGAUAAUGACGGUACCCGGAGAAGAAGCCCCGGCUAACUUCGUGCCAGCCGCCGCCGUAA
rnacentral:rRNA from 1 species